rnacentral:lncRNA from 1 species
GUGAAUUUAAGUGCUUCUGCCAUUUAAAUGAUACAACCAACCAAUGGAGUAGAAUCUAGAGAGAAAUAGGUUACUGAGAGUUAGACAGGUGGGAAGAUUUUAUAGAAAUGACAGUAUUUAAACUGAUCUUGGUGUUAGGAGUCAGCAUGCUGCCCCUAAUUGGUAAAAGGCCCUGACCCAUGUUCUCAGGCAAGGAACACUGCCUGGUUGGCUGUGUGGACACAAGGAGCAUUUAAAGGUAGAGUAGGAAAGGCAGCCUUAGGUCAGGUUAUAAAGGGCUUUACAGGCCUGUCUGAGGUGUAGUUUCUCGCUGAGCAUGUGGGAGUUGUAAAGUUCUGCUUCCUACAGAGGCUGGUUUUGAGACAGAGGAGGCUACAGCCCAGUGACCCAAGAACGAAACUAGGAAACUAGUUAAAUCCUGUUACCUAAACCAAGAUUUCCUAAAAUCUUCCACUGAAUAUUAAUAUUCCUCCUGGUAUUGAUUAAUUAAUGUUCCCUGGGGGGAGGGGAAGAAGGGAAGUUCACC